rnacentral:rRNA from 1 species
UAGGACGGCCAUAGGGGCUUGGUGAUACCCGGUCUCAUCUCGAACCCGGAAGUCAAGAAAGCCUCCGUUUCUGGUUGUACUGUAUUCUUACGGGAAGCCAGGAAAGCUGUCCGCC